rnacentral:rRNA from 1 species
UACGAAGGGGGCUAGCGUUGCUCGGAAUUACUGGGCGUAAAGGGCGCGUAGGCGGGUCGUUAAGUUAGAGGUGAAAGCCCAGGGCUCAACCCUGGAAUUGCCUUUAAUACUGUCGACCUUGAGUAUGGCAGAGGGUGUGUGGAACUCCGGAGUGUAGAGGUGAAAUUCGUAGAUAUUCGGAAGAACACCAGUGGCGAAGGCGACACACUGGGCCAUUACUGACGCUGAGGCGCGAAAGCGUGGGGAGCAAACAGG